AGUGAACGCUGGCGGUAGGCCUAACACAUGCAAGUCGAACGGCAGCACAGUAGGAGCUUGCUCUUACGGGUGGCGAGUGGCGGACGGGUGAGGAAUACAUCGGAAUCUACUUUUUCGUGGGGGAUAACGUAGGGAAACUUACGCUAAUACUGCAUACGACCUACGGGUGAAAGCAGGGGAUCUUCGGACCUUGCGCGAUUGAAUGAGCCGAUGUCGGAUUAGCUAGUUGGCGGGGUAAAGGCCCACCAAGGCGACGAUCCGUAGCUGGUCUGAGAGGAUGAUCAGCCACACUGGAACUGAGACACGGUCCAGACUCCUACGGGAGGCAGCAGUGGGGAAUAUUGGACAAUGGGCGCAAGCCUGAUCCAGCCAUACCGCGUGGGUGAAGAAGGCCUUCGGGUUGUAAAGCCCUUUUGUUGGGAAAGAAAAGCAGCAGGUUAAUACCCCGCUGUUCUGACGGUACCCAAAGAAUAAGCACCGGCUAACUUCGUG
rnacentral:rRNA from 1 species